rnacentral:rRNA from 1 species
CCUACGGGAGGCAGCAGUGGGGAAUAUUGGACAAUGGGCGAAAGCCUGAUCCAGCCAUGCCGCGUGUGUGAAGAAGGCCUUCGGGUUGUAAAGCACUUUCAGUGGGGAAGAAAGCCUUGGGGCUAAUACCCUCGAGGAAGGACAUCACCCACAGAAGAAGCACCGGCUAACUCCGUGCCAGCAGCCGCGGUAAUACGGAGGGUGCGAGCGUUAAUCGGAAUUACGGGGCGUAAAGCGCGCGUAGGCGGUCUGAUAAGCCGGUUGUGAAAGCCCCGGGCUCAACCUGGGAACGGCAUCCGGAACUGUCAGGCUAGAGUGCAGGAGAGGAAGGUAGAAUUCCCGGUGUAGCGGUGAAAUGCGUAGAGAUCGGGAGGAAUACCAGUGGCGAAGGCGGCCUUCUGGACUGACACUGACGCUGAGGUGCGAAAGCGUGGGUAGCAAACAGGAUUAGAUACCCGGGUAGUC